rnacentral:rRNA from 1 species
UACAGAGGGUGCAAGCGUUGUUCGGAAUUAUUGGGCGUAAAGAGCUCGUAGGCGGUCUGUCGCGUCGGCUGUGAAAACUCGGGGCUCAACUCCGAGCUUGCAGUCGAUACGGGCAGGCUAGAGUUCGGCAGGGGAGACUGGAAUUCCUGGUGUAGCGGUGAAAUGCGCAGAUAUCAGGAGGAACACCGGCGGCGAAGGCGGGUCUCUGGGCCGAUACUGACGCUGAGGAGCGAAAGCGUGGGGAGCGAACAGG